rnacentral:miRNA from 1 species
UUGGGGUGGGGAGAAUGGAAAACUGCAGGUGGGGUGACAGGAUAAUAAUAAUAAUAAUAAUAAUAAUAAUAAUAAUAAUAAUCUGUUGUUGUUUUUGUUGUUGUCUUGUCACCCCACCUGCAGUUUUCCAUUUCCUCCACCCAUUA